ensembl:misc_RNA Metazoa_SRP Metazoan signal recognition particle RNA
GCUGGGUGUGGUGGCAUGCACCUGUAGUUCCAGCUACUUGGAAGGCUGAGGUGGGAGGAUUGCUUGAGCCCAGGAGGUCAAGGCUGCAGUGAGCCAGGAUUGUGUCACUGCACCCUAGCCUGGGCAGCAGAGCAAGACCCUGUCUCAA